rnacentral:lncRNA from 1 species
UCUAGUUUCUGGAAUAAUAAUUACAAAAAAAUAUUAUUCCAAUUUAGACAAAUCUUUAAAGACCUGUUUUCCUGGGUUGGAUCCUGCCAUGUGUUAUUUAGAAUGACUCUAAACCUUAGUUACCAAUUUUAAGCUAAUGUUCUGUUAAAAGCAAAAAGCUGAUUAUCUACACGAGCAGCUCUUAAAGGGGCCAACAGCUUCUUGCUUUUAAGAGAACAUUAGCUUAAAAUUGGUAAAUAAGGGUUAGAGUCAUUCUAAACAACACGUGGC